rnacentral:lncRNA from 1 species
UUUUUUUUUUUUUUUUUUUUGAGACGGAGUUUUGCUCUUAUUGCCCUGGCUGGAGUGCAAUGGCGUGAUCUCGGCUCACUACAACCUCCACCUCCCGGGUUCAAGCAGUUCUCCUGCCUCAGCCUCCUGAGUAGCUGGGAUUACAGGUGCAUGCCACCACGCCCAGCUAAUUUUGUAUUUUUAGUAGAGACAGGUUUCUCCAUGUUGGUCAAGCUGGUCUCGAACUCCCAACCUCAGGUGAUUUGCCCGCCUCGGCCUCCCAAAGUGCUGGGAUUACAGGCAUGAGCCACCGUGCCCAGCCU